rnacentral:rRNA from 1 species
CUGGAUCCACCACAUCAUCAAGGCAACUUGAACGUUAUGGAGUUUGGUGAACGUUGGGCGUCUCACCAUAAUGCUCCACUGCCCAACCUUUUCGUCUCGUAUGCUUUAGCCCAUAAGGCACCGUACAGAACAGCCACGCCUUACGAUGAGAAUGACACAGCGUCCGCGUACUCCAGCAAGACCGCAUACGAUCGGAUGGAGAAAUUUAAAGGGGUGGCAAAAGAGUUGAAAGGGCCUGAGUAUGAUGUGACAACAGAGCCUCUUGACCACGCGUUGGUCAUGAUCUCUGGAGAAGGUAGGAAACAUGGCAAGGAAGCAAUUGCAGGAGGCAUGUUCCCUAGUUCCUCCCGUAGCUCUCUCCCUGAAUACAAAGCUCGGUUAGGUAUCUCAAAAUCUUCUACAUGUAAACGCUCGACUCCAGCUAUGGUUGAGAUGGAGGCCCGACUGGCGGAGGAGAGGCGACUGGCUGAUGAGAGGAUGCAGCAAGCG